UACAGAGGGGGCAAGCGUUGUUCGGAAUUACUGGGCGUAAAGGGCGCGUAGGCGGCCUGUUAAGUCGGACGUGAAAUCCCUCGGCUCAACCGGGGAACUGCGUCCGAUACUGGCGGGCUUGAAUUCGGGAGAGGGAUGUGGAAUUCCAGGUGUAGCGGUGAAAUGCGUAGAUAUACUGGAGGAACACCGGGUGGCGAAGGCGGAUCUCUGGGCCAUUACGUGACGCUGAGGAGCGAAAGCGUGGGGAGCCGAGCAGG
rnacentral:rRNA from 1 species